rnacentral:misc_RNA from 1 species
GUGAGUCAUCGAAUCUUUGAACGCACAUUGCGCCCGCCAGUAUUCUGGCGGGCAUGCCUGUUCGAGCGUCAUUUCAACCAUCAAGCCCAGGGCUUGUGUUGGGGACCUGCGGCUGCCGCAGGCCCUGAAAACCAGUGGCGGGCUCGCUAGUCACUCCGAGCGUAGUAGUUUACACCUCGCUCAGGGCGUGCUGCGGGUUCCGGCCGUUAAAAGCCUUAUUUUACCCAAGGUUGACCUCGGAUCAGGUAGGAAGACCCGCUGAACUUAAGCAUAUCAAUAAGCGGAGGA